rnacentral:rRNA from 1 species
UACGGAGGGUGCGAGCGUUGUCCGGAAUCACUGGGCGUAAAGGGCGCGUAGGCGGCGCGGGUAGUCAUCGGUGAAAGUUCAGGGCUCAACUCUGAAUCGGCCGGUGAUACUCCCGUGCUCGAGCACUGUAGAGGCAGGUGGAAUUCCGGGUGUAGCGGUGGAAUGCGUAGGAGAUCCGGGAAGAACACCGGUGGCGAAGGCGGCCUGCUGGGCAGUAGCUGACGCUGAUGCGCGACAGCGUGGGGAGCAAACAGG